rnacentral:rRNA from 1 species
UACGGGGGGGGCAAGCGUUGUUCGGAAUUACUGGGCGUAAAGGGUUUGUAGGUGGCUUGCUAAGUCAGACGUGAAAUCCCUCAGCUUAACUGGGGAACUGCGUCUGAUACUGGCGAGCUUGAGUGCAGGAGAGGAACGCGGAAUUCCAGGUGUAGCGGUGAAAUGCGUAGAUAUCAGGAGGAACACCUGCGGUGUAGACGGCUUACUGGACCAUAACUGACGCUGAGGCACGAAAGCGUGGGUAGCAAACAGG